GUGUCAGCCGCCGCGGUAAUACGGAGGGGGCAAGCGUUAUUCGGAUUUACUGGGCGUAAAGCGCACGUAGGCGGCAAGGCAAGUCAAAGGUGAAAGCCCUCGGCUCAACUGAGGAACUGCCUUUGAAACUGCCCUGCUUGAGUCCGGGAGGGGAGAGCGGAAUUCCCAGUGUAGCGGUGAAAUGCGUAGAUACUGGGAGGAACACCGGUGGCGAAGGCGGCUCUCUGGACCGGCACUGACGCUGAGGUGCGAAAGCGUGGGUAGCAAACAGGAUUAGAUACCCUGGUAGUCCACGCCGUAAACGAUGGGUACUAGGUGUAGCGGGUGUCGACCCCUGCUGUGCCGAAGCUAACGCAUUAAGUACCCCGCCUGGGGAGUACGGUCGCAAGGCUGAA
rnacentral:rRNA from 1 species